CAGCCGCCGCGGUAAUACGUAGGGCGCAAGCGUUAUCCGGAAUUAUUGGGCGUAAAGCGUGCGCAGGCGGUUUGUUAAGACAGAUGUGAAAUCCCCGGGCUCAACCUGGGAACUGCAUUUGUGACUGGCAAGCUAGAGUCUGGCAGAGGGGGGUGGAAUUCCGCGUGUAGCAGUGAAAUGCGUAGAUAUGCGGAGGAACACCGAUGGCGAAGGCAGCCCCCUGGGCCAACACUGACGCUCAUGCACGAAAGCGUGGGGAGCAAACAGGAUUAGAUACCCCAGUAGUCCCUGUCUCUUAUAC
rnacentral:rRNA from 1 species